rnacentral:rRNA from 1 species
AACUCAAGCUAAUACCGGAUACGGCAGAGAUGCGAAAGAUUCAUCGCCGAAGGAGUGGCCCGCGUCCGAUUAGCUAGUUGGUGAGGUAAUGGCUCACCAAGGCGACGAUCGGUAGCUGGUCUGAGAGGAUGGCCAGCCACAUUGGGACUGAGACACGGCCCAAACUCCUACGGGAGGCAGCAGUGGGGAAUAUUGGACAAUGGGCGCAAGCCUGAUCCAGCCAUGCCGCGUGAGUGAUGAAGGCCUUAGGGUUGUAAAGCUCUUUCGCACGCGACGAUAAUGACGGUAGCGUGAGAAGAAGCCCCGGCUAACUUCGUGCCAGCAGCCGCGGUAAUACGAAGGGGGCUAGCGUUGUUCGGAUUAACUGGGCGUAAAGGGCGCGUAGGCGGGUUUUUAAGUCAGAGGUGAAAUCCCAAGGCUCAACCUUGGAACUGCCUUUGAUACUGGAAAUCUUGAGUCCGGGAGAGGUGAGUGGAACUGCGAGUGUAGAGGUGAAAUUCGUAGAUAUUCGCAAGAACACCAGUGGCGAAGGCGGCUCACUGGCCCGGUACUGACGCUGAGGCGCGAAAGCGUGGGGAGCAAACAGGAUUAGAUC